rnacentral:rRNA from 1 species
GAUGAACGCUGGCGGCGUGCCUAAUACAUGCAAGUCGAGCGAACAGACGAGGAGCUUGCUCCUCUGACGUUAGCGGCGGACGGGUGAGUAACACGUGGAUAACCUACCUAUAAGACUGGGAUAACUUCGGGAAACCGGAGCUAAUACCGGAUAAUAUUUUGAACCGCAUGGUUCAAAAGUGAAAGACGGUUUUGCUGUCACUUAUAGAUGGAUCCGCGCUGCAUUAGCUAGUUGGUAAGGUAACGGCUUACCAAGGCAACGAUGCAUAGCCGACCUGAGAGGGUGAUCGGCCACACUGGAACUGAGACACGGUCCAGACUCCUACGGGAGGCAGCAGUAGGGAAUCUUCCGCAAUGGGCGAAAGCUUGACGGAGCAACGCCGCGUGAGUGAUGAAGGUCUUCGGAUCGUAAAACUCUGUUAUUAGGGAAGAACAAAUGUGUAAGUAACUAUGCACGUCUUGACGGUACCUAAUCAGAAAGCCACGGCUAACUACGUG